rnacentral:rRNA from 1 species
UACGUAGGGGGCAAGCGUUAUCCGGAUUUACUGGGUGUAAAGGGGGCGCAGACGGCGAUGCAAGCCAGGAGUGAAAGCCCGGGGCCCAACCCCGGGACUGCUCUUGGAACUGCGUGGCUGGAGUGCAGGAGGGGCAGGCGGAAUUCCUGGUGUAGCGGUGAAAUGCGUAGAUAUCAGGAGGAACACCGGUGGCGGAGGCGGCCUGCUGGACUGCAACUGACGUUGAGGCCCGAAAGCGUGGGGAGCAAACGGG